rnacentral:lncRNA from 1 species
AACUUCUCUUGUCACACUUGUCACACACAGGUGGCACCUGUGGCCCCCUUGGGUGCGGGUAGAAAAGAGGUCCCCUCAUCACAGCAGGUCACACUCAUGGAUGAUCGAGGGGUUCCUGCUGGACUUCGUCUCCUGUGCCAUCAUUAAAGGUUUCACCUCUGCUGCUACCAUCACCAUGGACUUUGGGCAGAUCCAGUUUGAUCCUGAAGGCAUCUGUCACUUCUGGAAUCCACUCCAACGACGAGGAGGAGAGUCACUUCAAUGCCUCUGAAAUGGAACCUUCAGGAGUUUUUAGUUAUAAAUCUUGGAAUCUGGAAGAUUCAAUUCAUGAUUGCAAAAUAUUUAUUUCCUAAUAUUUUGUUUUGUCAUAAACUGAUGCUUUUGAAAGAGAUCUCAUUAAUUGGGCUGUUUGACGUCUCUCUGGGGUGGAGCAGUAAUAAACGCGAGUCCACAUUCAUGUUCGGGGUGCAGAUCCACAUGAUCCGAACUCUUCCACUUCUUUUCCAUUUGAUGGCUCCCUGUGUUCUCCUCCCCCUGAGCUACGAUGAUUCUUUUAUGACACUUGUGAAUAUGUUUUUUU